UUCAACUCCUAUCUGCUUUUUGACUGAAGC
rnacentral:piRNA from 1 species